GAGUGUGAUCAUGCCAGCGUUAAUGCAUCGGAUCCCAUCAAAACUCUAUAGUUAAGUGUGCUUGGGAUAGAGUAGUACUGUGAUGGGUGAUGUCUUGGGAAGUCCUAGUGUUGCUCCCU
rnacentral:rRNA from 1 species